rnacentral:rRNA from 1 species
CCUACGGGAGGCAGCAGUGGGGAAUAUUGGACAAUGGGCGGAAGCCUGAUCCAGCAACGCCGCGUGAGGGAUGACGGCCUUCGGGUUGUAAACCUCUUUCAGUACCGACGAAGCGCAAGUGACGGUAGGUACAGAAGAAGCACCGGCCAACUACGUGCCAGCAGCCGCGGUAAUACGUAGGGUGCGAGCGUUGUCCGGAAUUAUUGGGCGUAAAGGGCUCGUAGGCGGUUUGUCGCGUCGGGAGUGAAAACGCCGUGCUUAACACGGCGCUUGCUUUCGAUACGGGCAGACUAGAGGUAUGCAGGGGAGAACGGAAUUCCUGGUGUAGCGGUGAAAUGCGCAGAUAUCAGGAGGAACACCGGUGGCGAAGGCGGUUCUCUGGGCAUUACCUGACGCUGAGGAGCGAAAGUGUGGGGAGCGAACAGGAUUAGAUACCCUGGUAGUCCACACCGUAAACGUUGGGCGCUAGGUGUGGGGUCCAUUCCACGGAUUCCGUGCCGCAGUUAACGCAUUAAGCGCCCCGCCUGGGGAGGUACGGCCGCGAGACGUAACUACAANAGAGUAGACGCGUGAGACGUUGCGACGACGACGACGAGGGAGGAGG